UAACGCGUAUGCAACCUGUCCGUUACAGGGGGAUAGCCCAUGGAAACGUGGAUUAACNCUCCAUAAUAUAAUAUAGAGGCAUCUUUGUAUUAUUAAAUAUUCAUAGGUAACGGUUGGGCAUGCGUCCUAUUAGAUAGUUGGGGGGGUAACGGCCCACCAAGUCGAUGAUAGGUAGGGGUUCUGAGAGGAAGGUCCCCCACACUGGUACUGAGACACGGACCAGACUCCUACGGGAGGCAGCAGUGAGGAAUAUUGGUCAAUGGGCGAGAGCCUGAACCAGCCAAGUCGCGUGAGGGAUGACUGCCCUAUGGGUUGUAAACCUCUUUUGUAUGGGGGGAAUAAGCUUUACGAGUAGAGUGAUGACAGUACCAUACGAAUAAGCAUCGGCUAACUCCGUGCCAGCAGCCGCGGUAAUACGGAGGAUGCGAGCGUUAUCCGGAUUUAUUGGGUUUAAAGGGUGCGUAGGCGGCAUUAUAAGUUAGUGGUAAAAUAUUGGGGCUUCACCUCACUACGCCAUUAAUACUGUAGAGCUAGAGAACAGACGAGGUAGGCGGAAUAAGUUAAGUAGCGGUGAAAUGCAUAGAUAUAACUUAGAACACCGAUAGCGAAGGCAGCUUACCAGACUGAGUCUGACGCUGAUGCACGAGAGCAUGGGUAGCGAACAGGAUUAGAUACCCUGGUAGUCCAUGCCGUAACGAUGCUCACUGGCCUUAGGCGAUAUACGGUCU
rnacentral:rRNA from 1 species